AUCCCCUGGGCCAACAUGGUUGGGUUUGCAAGUGACAAUUGCAACAUCAUGAUUGGCAGGAAAGAUUCUGUUUUGACCAGGCUCCAAUCAAAAAGUCCCAAGAUUUUUAGCAUUGGCUGCAUUUGCCACUUGGCAAAUCUUUGUGUGAAGGCCGGUGUGAAGGCACUGCCAUUUAAAGUAGAUGACCUUCUGGUGGAUGUGUUCUACUUUUUCCACCACAGCUCAAAGCGCAUUUAGGACUUCAAAGAAUUUCAGCAGUUUACAGAGGUAGAGGAGCAGCAGCUCUUGAAGUACUGUCCUAGCCGUUGGCUGUCCCUAGAGAAAGUCUGCAACCACCUGCUGAGCCAACUGCCGGCCUUGCGAAGCUACUUUGCCAGUCGUAAAGAUGUUGAGAAACCAGGCGAAUUCAAGUCGAUAAAUGACAGGCUACAGGAACCCCUGACUGAGCUAAUACUGUUGUUCCUGCAGUACAUUAUGCCAGUGCUCAAUCAGUUUAACAUCCUUUUUCAAGGGGAGGAUUGCAUGGUUGGCAGUCUCCUCCCCGAGAUGGACAGCCUUCUAUGGAAGUUUGCUGUGAAGUUCUUGGAGCUGAAGCAUGUCAAGUCCUGCAGAAAUCUUAGGGAAUUUGAUGUGGGCAACCAGGAGCUGCAGCAGUCCAAUGACAAGCUGACAGUGGGGCCUGCAGUCAGAUCUCGCCUGGUGGAGCUAGAGGAAGACCUGGACACAAAAACUGUCCAGGUCUUCUUCUCCUCUGUCAGGCUGCUGCCAGGAAGAUGAUGGAUACAUUUCCAUUUGACAAUGAAGUGUUGGUCAAUCUUGCAGUGUUAGCUCCAUCUAAAAAGGAUGACCUGGACUAUAGUAGUGUUGUCAAUUUAACUUCCUCUUUUGGCUUUUACCUGGACCUGGAGCAGUUGAAGGAGGAGUGGGAGGACUUUCAGCUUAUGCCACAUGAUGUUGUGCCAUGCAGGGCAAAUGAUGGCAAAAAAGUACCAAUAGAUGUAUAUUGGGGAAAGGUCUUUGAUGUAAAAACUGCUCUGGGUGUUGCCAGGUUUCCAGUGCUGAAACAACUUUUUACUGCUUUGCUCUGCCUCCCACAUAGCAAUGCAGAUAGUGAGAAUGAAUUUUCACUGGUUAGGAAAAUUCAUACAGAGUACAGAAAAAAUAUGGCUGCAGACACAUUAACUGCAUAUCUGCAAAUUAAAAUGAACUGUGAUCAGGAGCUACAACUGCUGCCCAAGCAAUGAUAUUAUAGCUUGUGCCAAAUCUGCAACAUCUUUGUACAACAAAGAACACUCCAAAAAGGAAUAAGAUUCAAAUUCUUGUUAUAAAUUACUGGGAAGAUUUUCAAUUUAACUUCAUAAUUUAUUAAUAUUUUCACUUAUCCUUGUUUAGAUAAUAUACUUGAUGUGGUUCAGUCAUCUUUAGUUGACUUAAUAUUGAUUUAAUAUUAAUACAUUUUAUUUGGGGCGGCACGGUGGUGUAGUGGUUAGCGCUGUCGCCUCACAGCAAGAAGGUCCAGGUUCGAGCCCUGUGGCCGACGAGGGCCUUUCUGUGCGGAGUUUGCAUGUUCUCCCCGUGUCCGCGUGGGUUUCCUUUGGGUGCUCCGGUUUCCCCCACAGUCCAAAGACAUGCAGGUUAGGUUAACUGGUGACUCUAAAUUGACUGUAGGUGUGAAUGUGAGUGUGAAUGGUUGUCUGUGUCUAUGUGUCAGCCCUGUGAUGACCUGGCGACUUGUCCAGGGUGUACCCCGCCUUU